rnacentral:rRNA from 1 species
CCUAAUACAUGCAAGUCGAGCGAAUGGAUUAAGAGCUUGCUCUUAUGAAGUUAGCGGCGGACGGGUGAGUAACACGUGGGUAACCUGCCCAUAAGACUGGGAUAACUCCGGGAAACCGGGGCUAAUACCGGAUAAUAUUUUGAACUGCAUGGUUCGAAAUUGAAAGGCGGCUUCGGCUGUCACUUAUGGAUGGACCCGCGUCGCAUUAGCUAGUUGGUGAGGUAACGGCUCACCAAGGCAACGAUGCGUAGCCGACCUGAGAGGGUGAUCGGCCACACUGGGACUGAGACACGGCCCAGACUCCUACGGGAGGCAGCAGUAGGGAAUCUUCCGCAAUGGACGAAAGUCUGACGGAGCAACGCCGCGUGAGUGAUGAAGGCUUUCGGGUCGUAAAACUCUGUUGUUAGGGAAGAACAAGUGCUAGUUGAAUAAGCUGGCACCUUGACGGUACCUAACCAGAAAGCCACGGCUAACUACGUGCCAGCAGCCGCGGUAAUACGUAGGUGGCAAGCGUUAUCCGGAAUUAUUGGGCGUAAAGCGCGCGCAGGUGGUUUCUUAAGUCUGAUGUGAAAGCCCACGGCUCAACCGUGGAGGGUCAUUGGAAACUGGGAGACUUGAGUGCAGAAGAGGAAAGUGGAAUUCCAUGUGUAGCGGUGAAAUGCGUAGAGAUAUGGAGGAACACCAGUGGCGAAGGCGACUUUCUGGUCUGUAACUGACACUGAGGCGCGAAAGCGUGGGGAGCAAACAGGAUUAGA